rnacentral:rRNA from 1 species
GCGCACCAGGCGCGAAACCUCCGCAAUGCGGGAAACCGCGACGGGGGACCCCGAGUGCCGUGGCAACGCCACGGCUUUUCCGGAGUGUAAAAAGCUCCGGGAAUAAGGGCUGGGCAAGGCCGGUGGCAGCCGCCGCGGUAAUACCGGCGGCCCGAGUGGUGGCCGCUAUUAUUGGGCCUAAAGCGUCCGUAGCCGGGCCCGUAAGUCCCUGGCGAAAUCCCACGGCUCAACCGUGGGGCUUGCUGGGGAUACUGCGGGUCUUGGGACCGGGAGAGGCGGGGGGUACCCCUGGGGUAGGGGUGGAAAUCCUAUAAUCCCAGGGGGACCGCCAGUGGCGAAGGCGCCCCGCUGGAACGGGUCCGACGGUGAGGGACGAAGGCCAGGGGAGCAAAACCGGAUUAGAUACCCGGGUAGU